rnacentral:rRNA from 1 species
CUCUAAAGAGACUGCCGAUGACAAAUCGGAGGAAGGUGGGGAUGACGUCAAAUCAUCAUGCCCUUUAUGUCCUGGGCUACACACGUGCUACAAUGGUCGGUACAACGAGAAGCAAGCCAGCGAUGGCAAGCAAAUCUCUAAAAAGCCGAUCCCAGUUCGGAUUGCAGGCUGCAACUCGCCUGCAUGAAGUCGGAGUUGCUAGUAAUCGCGGAUCAGAAUGCCGCGGUGAAUACGUUCCCGGGCCUU